CCUANGGGGGGCUGCAGUGGGGAAUUUUGGACAAUGGGCGCAAGCCUGAUCCAGCCAUGCCGCGUGCGGGAAGAAGGCCUUCGGGUUGUAAACCGCUUUUGUCAGGGAAGAAAUCCUCUGGGUUAAUACCUCGGGGGGAUGACGGUACCUGAAGAAUAAGCACCGGCUAACUACGUGCCAGCAGCCGCGGUAAUACGUAGGGUGCGAGCGUUAAUCGGAAUUACUGGGCGUAAAGCGUGCGCAGGCGGUCUUGCAAGACAGGUGUGAAAUCCCCGGGCUUAACCUGGGAACUGCACUUGUGACUGCAAGGCUGGAGUACGGCAGAGGGGGAUGGAAUUCCGCGUGUAGCAGUGAAAUGCGUAGAUAUGCGGAGGAACACCGAUGGCGAAGGCAAUCCCCUGGGCCUGUACUGACGCUCAUGCACGAAAGCGUGGGGAGCAAACAGGAUUAGAUACCCGUNUANUC
rnacentral:rRNA from 1 species